rnacentral:miRNA from 1 species
UCUUACGGCCCCUAAACUUUUCA